GGGAGCCAUGCUCCUGACUGGUUCCCUUGGACUUUGAUGGAUUCAGGUUUGAGUCUGGACAAGGACUAGAAGCAGACAAAACUUCAAAAACAGAGAACAGGGAAAAUGGAUUCUCCCCAGGUGAAACGGGUGAGACCCUGAGGACACCUACAGGUCCCACUGAGAACAGGGCAGCUUUCUUCCCUAACUGGCGCCAGUCACUGAGGAAAUCUUUCCGA